rfam:Hordeum vulgare subsp. vulgare, WGS project CAJW01000000 data, contig: morex_contig_60496
CAAAUACUCCCUCCGUCCGGAAAUAUUUGUCUUAGAAAUGCAUGUAUAUAUCUAGACAUAUUUUAGUUAUAGACACAUUUAUUUUAUUCAUUUUUAGGACAAGUANUUCCGGACGGAGGGAGUAUAUA